rnacentral:rRNA from 1 species
GACGAACGCUGGCGGCGUGCCUAAUACAUGCAAGUCGAACGAGAGCGACCGGUGCUUGCACUGGUCAAUCUAGUGGCGAACGGGUGAGUAACACGUGGGUAACCUGCUCAUCAGAGGGGGAUAACAUCCGGAAACGGAUGCUAAAACCGCAUAGGUCUUCGAGCCGCAUGGCUUGAAGAGGAAAAGAGGCGCAAGCUUCUGCUGAUGGAUGGACCCGCGGUGCAUUAGCUAGUUGGUGAGGUAACGGCUCACCAAGGCCGUGAUGCAUAGCCGACCUGAGAGGGUGAUCGGCCACAUUGGGACUGAGACACGGCCCAAACUCCUACGGGAGGCAGCAGUAGGGAAUCUUCCGCAAUGGACGCAAGUCUGACGGAGCAACGCCGCGUGAGUGAAGAAGGUUUUCGGAUCGUAAAACUCUGUUGUUAGAGAAGAACAAGUGCUAGAGUAACUGUUAGCGCCUUGACGGUAUCUAACCAGAAAGCCACGGCUAGCUACGUG